GCGGUUGUGCUGGAACUGGCAGACAGGCAUGACUAAGGAUCAUGUGUCUCCGACGUGCAGGUUCAAGUCCUGUCAACCGCACCA
rnacentral:tRNA from 1 species